CCGAUGCCUGGACGAUCACAGGCGUUCAGUUGGCCAUGCUCAUGGCUAACGUAGUUUGAGUUUAUUCUGCACCAAACACCCUGUAGGUCUUGAUUUGAUUGAGGCCCAUGACAACCCUAAGAGGUGGCUGCCACCUCCAUCCAAGGGACAAGGGGACUAAGCUGUGAGAGAAGAGCCGGCCCCAAGGCCCACAGCUGGAAGGCUUGGAUUUGAAGGCAGAUAAGUCAAGCUCUGAGCGCCAACUAGCUUUAGGGAAAGUAUCAAGAAAGAAUGAGCUGAUGAACAAAGAAACAUCAUUCAACUCAUAACCGUGUUGUCCCACCAGCUCUUAAGCACCGCAACAUACCUCGAAUGAAACCUCAGCCCCAGAAAGGCCCUGAAAUGUCCAACAACGUCAGCCUCAUUUUUCCGUACAAACAGCACUGAAGCUCCUAUAAAACCUGGAAGCAGAUCACUCUCCUGUAAUAUCUGCGAAUGCAUUUUGAUCCUGUGGGGCAAGCAACACCUAUUUUCAGAUCUUUAAAAAUUUUUUCACAAAUAAGGAAACCGAAGCCCAGAAGAUUGCAUGGCUUGCCCAAGGCCAUGCAGUGAGUUUAUGCUGCAAAGCUGGAAGUGGAAUCCAGGUCCUGCCUCUUUUCAAUUCAGUGUCCUUCCGCCUGCUUCUCCCAAUGGCCGCAUCUUCACCCAGAUGAUGCUAAUUUGUUACCACCUGAUAGUCGUGUUUAUCAUGCCAACAAGCUUCCCUGAGCCAGUCAGGAAAUUCAAUUUCAUUCCUCAAAUGACUUUCAGAGAACAACCUGGCCUUUGCGCAGUCAUAUUGGGAUUCCCUACUCCAUGCUAUGGGGGGCUCCCCGGGUCAACACUUUCCUGGAGGCUGUUCUCUCUCCUUUUCUUGAGAUCUGCAGGCCCUGGCUGAGGGGAUGGAGACAGACUGAUGGCCAUCUGUCUGGGCUGUUCUGUGUGGCUUGGGCCCGAAUGCACUAAGCGAUUUAUCAGUUAACCGCGCAGUUUGUGUGCACGGCUGGGCUGUUUGCAGAACCAUGCCUUUCCCAUGGCUGCUCGGAGGGAAAUUACCAGUGCCCACUGAAGCAGGCGAUCAGGGGCUCGCUGGAUCCCUUUCAAGGACCAUGUGGCUCUUCACAUCUCCUCCUUAGGUAAGGGCUAUGAGGAGAACAUCCCCGGCCACCUGGUGCCCAGCACCCAGUCCUUAGGUCUGUAACAACCAGCUGGAACUCUGUGUCGAUGAUGGGAGCUGAGUGCGGUGGAGAGAAAAAGGGCCCUGCUGGUCCUCAGGACCGGGGGAUACCCCAGCUCCAUGGUUCACGGGCUCUGCAACCUCGGGUGCACCAUGUUAACAGCCUGAGUCCCCAUUUCUCCACCUACCCAUCCAAUGGGGGACAGAAAAUCUUCCCCUCUGGGUUAUUGUGAGGAAUAUAUGAGAUGUCAGCCCAAAUAAAUACACAGAGACCCAGAGAUAACCGAGCACAUCAAGUAUGCUUAACAGAAGUUUCUAUCCCUUCCAUACCUCUUCCUCUCAUGAUUCUUUCCCAUGGUGUCAAGAAUGGGAAAGUAGAAGGAGCUGAGUAUGGGGGUGCCCCCUUUUUCUCCUUCUUUCCAUCCCCCUGCUUCAUCACAGAUGUUAUUAUUGAGCUUCUGCCAUGACCCACAGGCUUCCUGUGCACUUUCUCACUAAAUUCUUACCCCAUUACCCUCAAAGGAUGAACGGUGCCUCCCUCUUCAAAGGCCAGUGCUGUCAAAAGAACUCUCUGCAAUCACAGAAACGAGCUCCAUCUGUGCCAUCCAAUGAGGCAGCCACCAGCCACGCGCUACUGAACCCUUGAAAUAGGCCUUGUGCAAUAGAGGAAUUGGACUUUUUUUCUUUUUCUUUUUGGUGUGGAAGAUUGUCCCAGAGCUAACAUCUGUUGCCAAUCUUCCUCUUUUUGCUUGAGGAAGAUCGGCCCUGAGCUAACACCUGUGCCAGUCUUCCUCUAUUUUGUAUGUGGGAUGCAGCCACAGCAUGGCUUGAUGAGCAGUGUGUAGGUCCACACCUGGGAUCUGAAGCUGCAAACCCUGGGCUGCCAAAGCAGAGUGCGUGAACUUAACCACUGCACCACCAGACUGGACCUGGAACUGGAUUUUUACCUCAUUUACAUUUAACUAGCCACAUGUGGCAGUGGCCACGGAAUUGGAAAGCAGUUAUAGACGGGGGUGAAAAAAGAAAAACAGACUGAAGUCUGAGGAAGUUCAGAAUUGCCCAAGGUCAUAACCUGGAUGAAGGUGGAGGUGAGAAUUGAAUCCACGCUUGUCAGCAUCUGCUGUGCAUCUCCAAAGAUGGAGGGUCCGGCUGGCUGAGGACGCACUCCAACACGCAAACCCAGAUCUGAAACUCGACACAGGCUGGGGAGAAAUAUUCCCGGGGCCAGGGAAUUGGCCCAGAAGGAGAAGGAUAUGAAUAUUCAAAACGGAUAAUGGUUGUGGAAACGCUUUGUAAACUGUGAAGUGCCGGUUCAGGGUGGGGGUUAUUAACAAUAGCCCUUGGCGCUGACUCCAUGGCACAGCUUUCCUGUCCCUCUCCACAUCCUGCUGCUCUGUUAAUCAUUAAUUAAAGCUUAAGGGAUUUGGGAAUACAGGCCUCUGAAAUUUGGACUAAACCCUCUGUGAUAUUGGAAAAAAAAAAAAGAAUCUCGGAUAAUUAGCUUUUCUUUCCCUAAAUGCUUUUUGGGUCUCAUUACAAUCGAAGUGCUGGGCUAAUAUACCUUGUGUUGUGAAUGCCUCACAAUUCCUGCUAAUUGAAUUAAACCCAAUUCUCUGCAAAUAAACUCUUGGUUUUCUUAAUGGCAAAUAAGGAACAGAGCUGUUUCUUUCUGGAACGGGUCAUUACAAGGCCCUAAUUACCAGGAUCUCAACGUGUAACGCAGACCGCCUUUGUGUCGGCUCCUCACAAUGACGGCUCUGUUAAGAUCAAAGUCGCAACGUGCCCUUGGAAUCUUCUCCCUCUCUUUAUCCCACUUCAAAAUGCUUAAUAAUGACUAAUCCAAUUUCCAAGAUGGCAGAGAAAGGACGAGAGAACAGAAGUCCACUUUUUUUAAAUUCAGGACAAAUAUUCCAAAAUGGAUGCGCUCAUGCGCCCCCCCCCCCUUUUCUUUUUCCCUUGCACACAGCACAUUUGGAAGUGGCUGCUUAAUGAAGGAUUCUGCACCUCAGGAGUUGCACGCGUGCCCAAGGUGAACCGAGGAGCUGCGUGGAGUAAUCAGAUGUCAGUGAGGAAGAUGGAUACCAUUGUUCUCUCAUGGCCCAACACCUUUAUCAAUAAUGCAAUGCCAAUUACUUUGGGGACCAGCCUGGACUCUUGUGGGAUGGGAAACUUGAUUCCAAGGCUCUUCGGAACAGCAUAUAUAAUCAGCCACACUAACCAGAUUUUAAAAUGCAGUACGCGUCCCUCCUUGCUGGGUUUCAGAUUGGGUGAUGGCUGAAGUUCCUGGCUCUCCAAAAUGCUAAGCCUUCCUCUCAGGAAGAGCCACCGACUCUCACCCCUUUGCUGCAGCAGAGCAAACCAAUUCCAGACCAUCUUGGCAGCCCCCAAAACUGGAUUCUCGACUGCGCCCUCCACAGUUUCUUGCCCACCUCCCUCAGCGCCCAAACAUCUCAUUCUUUCAAGGUAUCGUGUUCACCUCCCUCGGAAAGUUCUCUUGAUCGUCUCUGACGGCAAAACUCCUCAAUUCGGUCUCCAGAACCCAUGGCAGACAUAGCUGGCAGAGCUUGUUCCCUGCUUCUAUCUGCUCUGGUUGCCUUUUUCUCUCUCGUCUGUGUCUGAGGCACAGGCAGAGCGGGCUUUAGAAAAGGACAGCCCUGGGUUUCCAUCUUAGUUCUGUUACUGAGAGCUGUGGAGCUUGGGGCAAGGCGUGUCACGUCUCGGAAGCCUCUCUUUUCUCAUCCGCAGAUGAGGGAUGCUAAUGCCCACCUUGCUUCAAGGAAUGGCUUGGGUAGCAUGUGUUAAAAAUAACAAUGUGGAUAAAGAGGUGCACAGUAGCUGCUCAAUAAGUGGAAUCCAGCCAUGUUCUUAUGAUAAGACAUGCUUUGCAUUUUAAUUGCUUGUUUAGGUGUCCACUUCCCCCAGAGGGCAAUUGACUCUUUGGAGGAAAAGCAUGGACCUUAUUAACUCCUGUUUUUAGAUUUCUCCCGCCCUAGCACAGAGCUGGGCAUGCAUUCGGCUUGAAGGAUGUUUGAUUAAUAAAUUAGUAAAUAAAUGGAUACAUGGAUAAACACCUGCAACAAGCAUUUAGGAAGUGAAAUUAAACAGUGCCUGGGAUGUAGGAGGUGUUUAAUAAGCAUUUGUUUGUAAAUGAAUGAAUGAAUGAAUGAACACCUACAACCAAAGAUUCAGGGAUCUCAAUGAAGAUCAAACUGAGGGGUUUUGUGAUUUUCCCCCACAAAAUGACCCCCACCCCUCCUGCCAGAAGCAGCUCCCAUCAGCUUACUGAGGAACAACAAUGUUAAAUUAUUGCUUAACUGCUUCCCAGACGACCAUCUCCCCGCAUCUCGCCAGGAAAAUCAUCGCCAUUCUCUUCGUGCCAUGAACAGCUGCAGUUAACACGUUUGGGGUGCCUGUUAAGCACGAUUCCCUUCAGCCAGUCCAAACUUGAUUUCCACGGCUGCGUCUCCUUUCCACCGGGGAGAGCUCUCUCCAGGAACCUGACUCGCUAAGUCAAUGGUUCAGGGAAGAGAUGCACCAACAUCGUGCCGGCAGAUGAGGCGUGAUGGGCACCAGCACAGGGAAAGAAGAGGGGAGUGGGGCCCAGCAUGGCUUGAUGAGUGGUGUAUGUCUGUGCCCAGGAUCCGAACCCGUGAAGUUGGGCUGCUGAAACGGAGCACGAGAACUUAACCACUACAUCAUGGGGCCAGCCCCAAUGUAGAUUUUUUUUAAAAAAAUGUAAGUAUAUCCAAAUACUGUAGGGGACAUUCUUAUCCUACACAAAUAUUUGUUGUUUAUGUGCAAUUCAAAGGUAACUGAGCACCCUGCAUUUUUACUUGCUACAUCUGCCAACCUCUUGUGGGGAAGGACAAGGUGAGGAAACCAUUCUCUCAGAUCCUUCCUUACUUUCUGGAAAAGGAUUCCAUGGAGAAAGGAAGAAGGUAGAUGGGUAGAUUAAUCAGAGUCAGAGGUCAUGUGGGCGGCAGCCCAGGGCUGUGUUAAGAGGACAGCCUCUGGAGCCAGCUCUGUGGGUCCAAAAUCCCGGCUCUGCCACUUCUCAGCUGUUGAAUCUGAGCAAUUUACUUCAUCUCCUCGUGCCUCCAUCUCUCUGUCCAUUUAACAGGAUUGGUGCUGUAAUGGCACCUACUUUAUACAGGGCUUGGGAUGCUUCAGUGGAAUCACCUAUAUAAAGUGCUGGAUGCAAGGCUUGGAAAUCACUUGGCCCACGUCAUCAUUCACCAUAGUCACUGCGAGGGCCUUCACAGCUCGGCCCAGGAGAGUUUACAGGCCUGCCCGAAGGCGACCUGCCGUGCAAGGCAAUUUCCCUCCAAUCUUCUAACCCAGGGGCGGGCAAGCUCCAGCUGCUGUUUUUGUCAAUAAAGUUUUAUUGGAACACAACCAUGCCCAGUCGUUUACAUAUUGUCUAUGGCAGCCUUCAAUUUACAAGAGCAGAGCUGAAUAGUUGCCAUGGAGAUUAUGUGCCUCUAACAGCCUAAAAUAUUUAUUAGUUGGCCCAAGAUGAAGUUUGCAGAGCCCUGGUCUAACCACCUGCUCCACAAUCCUCUUGUUGCUGUGACAUGUUAUCACAAACUCGAUGUUUUAAAGACAAUGCAAACUUAUCCUCUUACAAUUCGGGAGGUCAGAAGUCCGAAAUCAGCCUCUCUGGGCUAAAGGCCAGGUGUCAGCAGGGCUGUGUUCAUUCCGGAGGCUCCAGAGAAGAACCCUUUUCCAGCUCCCAGGAGCUGUCUGCAUUCCCUGGCUUGUGGCCCCAUCCUUGGGCUUCGAAGUCCAGCCUCUGCUCCCAUGACCACAUCACAUUCU
ensembl:lncRNA